CAUGCUUCCAUCACACAGUGAUGAUGUGGGUGCCGUGUGGCUGGCUGUGGCUGACUCUCCAGGUCUUUUUCCUCCACCUCCACAUAUGACGGUCCUCCCCCAAUAAUAUGUUCUGUAUUCCAGGACGUGGAUCUGUUGUUGAACAACACGUGGCCAGAGUUCUCACCAUGCUUCCAUCACACAGUGCUGGUGUGGGUGCCGUGUGGCUGGCUGUGGCUGACUCUCCCGGCCUUCCUCAGGCACAUCCUGUCACUCCAACAACGCCUGCAGCUUUCAAAACUUACAGUAGCAAAACUAGUGCUGAAACUCUAUGCAUGGGAGGGCUCAUUUAGGGACAAGAUCAUGGUCAUCAGGGAGAAGGAGACGAAAGUCCUGAUGAAAAUAGCUCUGUUUGAGGUCCUGCUUGUCUUCCUGUGGAUAGGCUUCCCAACACUGAUAACGAUUGCCUGCUUUGUAACAUACAUCAUGACAUCUCCUACCGCGUUCAUGAACUCCCGAACGGCCUUCGUCUCCAUCGCUCUCUUCAACUAUCUGAGGGGGGCUAUGAACAUGCUGCCCAUGUGCAUCUAGACUCUGGCACAGGUAGUACUUGAAUGUCAACUCAUGCACAGGUAGUACUUAAAUAUCAACUUUGGCACUGCUAGUUCUUGUAUAUCGACUCUUGCAUAGCUAGUACUUGCAUAUCAACUCUGGCACAGGUAGUACUUGUAUAUCAACUCUGGCACAGGUAGUACUUGUAUAUCAACUCUGGCACAGGUAGUACUUGUAUAUCAACUCUUGCGCACCUAGUACUUGUAUAUCAACUCUGGCACAGGUAGUACUUGUUUAUCAACUCUGGCACAGGUAGUACUUGCAUAUCAACUCUGGCACAGGUAGUACUUGUAUAUCAACUCUGGCACAGGUAGUACUUGUAUAUCAACUCCUGCACAGGUAGUACUUGUAUAUCAAUUCUUGCACAGGUAGUACUUGUAUAUCAACUCCUGCACAGGUAGUACUUGUAUAUCAAUUCUUGCACAGGUAGUACUUGUAUAUCAACUCUUCCCCAGCUGGUACUUGUAUAUCAACUCUUCCCCAGCUGGUACUUGUAUAUCAACUCUGGCACAGGUAGUACUUGUAUAUCAUCUCUUGCACAGCUGGUACUUGUAUAUCAACUCUUGCACAGUUAGUACUUGUAAAUCAUCUCUUGCGCACCUAGUACUUGUAUAUCAACUCUUGCACAGGUAGUACUUGUAUAUCAACUCUGGCACAGGUAGUACUUGUAUAUCAACUCUUGCACAGGUAGUACUUGUAUAUCAACUCUGGCACAGGUAGUACUUGUAUAUCAACUCUGGCACAAGUAGUACUUGUAUAUCAACUCUUGCACAAGUAGUACUUGUAUAUCAUCUCUUGCACAGGUAGUACUUGUUUAUCAACUCUUGCACACCUAGUACUUGUAUAUCAACUCUGGCACAGGUAGUACUUGUAUAUCAUCUCUUGCACAGCUGGUACUUGUAUAUCAACUCUGGCACAGGUAGUACUUGUAUAUCAUCUCUUGCACAGCUGGUACUUGUAUAUCAACUCUUGCACAGUUAGUACUUGUAAAUCAUCUCUUGCGCACCUAGUACUUGUAUAUCAACUCUUGCACAGGUAGUACUUGUACAUCGACUCUGGCACAGGUAGUACUUGUAUAUCAACUCUUGCACAGGUAGUACUUGUAUAUCAACUCUGGCACAGGUAGUACUUGUAUAUCAACUCUGGCACAAGUAGUACUUGUAUAUCAACUCUUGCACAAGUAGUACUUGUAUAUCAUCUCUUGCACAGGUAGUACUUGUAUAUCAACUCUGGCACAGGUAGUACUUGUAUAUCAACUCUUGCACACCUAGUACUUGUAUAUCAACUCUUGCACAAGUAGUACUUGUAUAUCAUCUCUUGCACAGGUAGUACUUGUAUAUCAACUCUGGCACAGGUAGUACUUGUAUAUCAACUCUUGCACACCUAGUACUUGUAUAUCAACUCUGGCACAGGUAGUACUUGUAUAUCAUCUCUUGCACACCUAGUACUUGUAUAUCAACUCUGGCACAGGUAGUACUUGUAUAUCAUCUCUUGCACAGCUGGUACUUGUAUAUCAACUCUUGCACAGUUAGUACUUGUAAAUCAUCUCUUGCGCACCUAGUACUUGUAUAUCAACUCUUGCACAGGUAGUACUUGUAUAUCAACUCUGGCACAGGUAGUACUUGUAUAUCAACUCUGGCACAGGUAGUACUUGUAUAUCAACUCUGGCACAAGUAGUACUUGUAUAUCAACUCUUGCACAAGUAGUACUUGUAUAUCAUCUCUUGCACAGGUAGUACUUGUUUAUCAACUCUGGCACAGGUAGUACUUGUAUAUCAACUCUUGCGCACCUAGUACUUGUAAAUCAACUCUGGCACACCUAGUACUUGUUUAUCAACUCUUGCACAGGUAGUACUUUAUAUCAACUCUGGCACAGAUUAUAUUUGUAAUGAACAUCAGUGUAUUUUCGUAGCUUGAUGGUCAUAUUUCUUAUAGUCAAAGCUGAUAUACUAAGUAACUAGAGUUAGUGAGUGAGUGAGUGAGUAUGGUUUUACACUGCUGUUUUUGCAAUAUUCCAGCAAUAUCACGGCAGGGGACACCAUAAAUGGGCUUCACACAUAGUACCCAUGUCAGGAAUCGAACCCGGGCAUGACAAUCGAAUGCUUUAACCACUAGGCUACCCGACCACCCCAUACCAACUAGAACCAAGAUGUAAAUUCAUUGUCUUCACUUCGGGCAAGCUUGUCAACAAAGCGCCUGAACAAAUAUCUUGCUGAAGAGGACCUUGAUCCCAGCACAGUGUCAGCCGACACUGCAGAAGGUCGAGUAUCUGUUUAUUGAGAAUAUACGGAUGUGAAGUGGCUAGUUGAACCCCCUCCCCCCGUUUUUUAAGUGAACAUGAACUAAUAUUAAUAUUUUUAAAUUUCUACAUCUUUUAUCAUAUAUAAUCUGCAAACAGAUUUUUGAUCAAGGCACACAUGGGAAUGUCAUCUCUCGGUAUGAGACGUUUGUUCUCAAGAUGUUGUUUUGCUAACUAAACAAAAUAGUUUGAAUUGCAAGAAAACUGUCAUGAGUUGAAUGAAGUUGGUACCACAAUGUCUACGUUGAAAGUUAUCUGCAAGCACCUUGGAUUUGUUGUCUUGUAAUGAUCUUAUUAUUUAAUAUCAAUAUCAUGUCCCUUUUGAGUAAUUGAACAACUGACGUGGAUUUAGUAUUUUGCAGUAUUUCUUUAGCUUAAAAUCAAAAUGAUAUGGUGUUCUCAUAUUUCUUAUUUCAGGAGUUGCAAUCAGUAUUGAUAAAGCCACUUUCACGUGGAGCACUGGAUCAGAGUCUACCUUGAAAAAGUAACUACUGUAAUGAAUCUUGUCAUUAGAGAUGGAUAUCCUUACACUAUUCUAUCCAUACCUGCAAAUGUAUGAUGAUGAAUGUACAUAAGCACAAUGGAUAUACAGACAACCAGAGUGCCAGUAUAAGACAAUAAUAUGUGGGCUAACCAUUAGUUGAAGACAAACCAGAGUGCCAGUGGCGAAAACGAUCAAGACCUUCGUUUGAAGUUUUAAUAGUUAUUAAAUAUAUGAUUAUUUAUUAUUACAUACACAUCUUGUGUGUAAAAAUUAUGUAUAUUGUACGUAUAAGAUCAAUUAAAUGUUUCAUAGUAAUAUUUAACAGUUAUAGUUAGCUCCAGUGAUCGGCUCAAAUAGUCCCGCGAUCUACUGGUGCUUACGUCAUCAAAAGUUGGGUAGUUCAUUCCAGAAUUGUUUCAUGCUUUAAAUCCACUAAAGUAAAUAUAUUUAUUCCAAAAUACUUAUGUAAACACCUUCCUGGACAUGUUAUUGAGUAGAUUACAUCCAUCCCAAUUAAUGUCACGUCGUAUAUUUGGUGUUUAAUCGCAUUCUUCUCGCUCUAACUUUUGGCAUCUUCUGCUACAUGUAUUUCCGGAAGUGACGUCACCACGAAUAUAAUCUUGUUCCAAAUGAGUUGCAGAAAUAACAGACUCAAGGUAAGUU